AUUUUCAUUUGAGUCCUUUUGUAUUUAAGUAUUUCUCUCCCUUUUUGUCAUCGUAUCAAAAAGGAGGUAAGCAGUACACACAAUCAAUCAUAGAUCAAAUUGCACAGGAAUUGAAGAGAACAUGUCUACUCAUUGUAUUGAUUUGUAUGUAAAUACAUUUGAGAAUACAAUAAGUAAAGCAAAACAAUACAUGUCAAAAUACAAAACGAUAUCUAGGGCUUCCUCGAAGAGGAUGUGGCUCCCCGAGGCAUGCGGUCAGCAAGUGCUUGGACCGCAUUGGUGACGUGCUCUAGCUGUCGGAUGAUGGCCGAGGUGGCCCUGCUAUGCAUCGUGUUGAGCUCGGUCACCGACUUCUGAAGUGUGUCCAGCUUGUCGAUGAGCACAUUCGCCAAGCGCUCGGCCCCCUGAGUAGUGGUGCUCAUGUCCUUCCGGAUGUCAUCGCGCAUCUUCCGAGUGAUGCCCGUGACCUCACUCAUACUGGAGAACUGAGCCUGGACCAAACUCCGGGCAUUGUAGAUCUCUUCCCGUACAUGGGCCGUCAUGUCAGUCACGGCUGUCAAGGAAGGGACCAACUCAGAAGAUGUGGGUGCAGGAGUGGGAGCUGGCACUGAACCUC
rnacentral:lncRNA from 1 species